UAGGUUCGUCAAAAAAUGUUGUAUGCAGCAACAAGAGCAACUCUGAAGAAGGAAUUUGGAGGUGGCCACAUUAAAGAUGAAGUAUUUGGAACAGUAAAGGAAGAUGUAUCAUUACAUGGAUAUAAAAAAUACUUGCUGUCACAAUCUUCCCCUGCCCCACUGACUGCAGCUGAGGAAGAAUUACGACAGAUUAAAAUCAAUGAGGUAAGUUACAACUACAAAGUCUUUGCAAGAUUUUAAGUGUUUGAAAA
rnacentral:lncRNA from 1 species